rnacentral:rRNA from 1 species
ACAAUUUGUUCACACGGUGUUGGAUGGUUGCCGACCAGUAGGUCUUAGUAGGCGGUGCUUCGGUGCCGUCGAAAGGUCCGAAAGACGGUGGCUUUCGUCAUCGUGUUGGCUUGAUGGAA